UACGGAGGGGGCUAGCGUUGUUCGGAAUUACUGGGCGUAAAGGGUCUGUAGGUGGCUUGCUAAGUCAGACGUGAAAUCCCUCAGCUUAACUGGGGAACUGCGUCUGAGACUGGCGAGCUUGAGGGCAGGAGAGGAACGCGGAAUUCCAGGUGUAGCGGUGAAAUGCGUAGAUAUCUGGAGGAACACCGGUGGCGAAGGCGGCGUUCUGGACUGCAUCUGACACUGAAAGACGAAAGCCAGGGGAGCAAACGGG
rnacentral:rRNA from 1 species